rnacentral:lncRNA from 1 species
CCAUUAUUAUCAUUAUUAUUAAGUACUUUAGCAAUGGUGUAAGCUCGAAUAAGAGUGUUCCACAAGAAGGCAGUGCGACAAUAAGGAACAGUUUGAUUGAAGAGAAUGCGAGAAGUUGUUGGGUCUUUGAAGGUGGCGUAUUGGAGAAUGAGAGAGGCACAGAGAGUGACACUGUAAGGAAGUAAGCCAUUAAGAAGAGCAAAGACAUGGGCUUGAUGUGUUUGUUGGAGGGAUUGCGUAGAGGAGCAGAGUUGGAGGAUACUUGAGGAGAGAGAAAGGGAUUGGGUGUGUAUUUGUACCCAUUUGACUGAAAAUGUGGAAGCUAAGCGCAGGGUACGAGAAUGGUAGAACAUAGAACAAUAGCGG